UACAGAGGUCCCAAGCGUUGUUCGGAUUCAUUGGGCGUAAAGGGUGCGUAGGUGGCGCCGUAAGUGGGGUGUGAAAUUUCGGAGCUUAACUCCGAAACUGCAUUCCAUACUGCGGUGCUUGAGGACUGGAGAGGAGACUGGAAUUUACGGUGUAGCGGUGAAAUGCGUAGAUAUCGUAAGGAAGACCAGUGGCGAAGGCGGGUCUCUGGACAGUUCCUGACACUGAGGCACGAAGGCCAGGGGAGCAAACGGG
rnacentral:rRNA from 1 species